UCAUACCAGGGUCUAAAGGUCAUGUGUUUCAUGCUUGCAUGAAAAACAUGACUUUGAGACCCGCAAAUCCGUUAUUUUAGAAAGGAAAAUAAGAAUGACAUUCAAGGAAUUAUACCUGAAAGGCGAAAUUGAAUUCGAAGAAAUCG
rnacentral:misc_RNA from 1 species